rnacentral:lncRNA from 1 species
UUAAGGUCAUACUGUGGUAAUACGGUUAAACCUUAAAGGAAAAAUAUAUAAGGUCAUACUGUGGUAAUACGGUUAAACCUUGGAAAAAAAUAUUUAUAUGAUUGCUCAUACAAAAUUUUGUAUCAUCAAGCUAAUUGUGAGUUGAAAAAGAUGAAUAAAGACGCUAACCGGCUUUCUUACCAUGUGUGUGACAUAGAUAAAGGGUCUUAAUGUGACUGUCUAGAAUGAAAAA